rnacentral:tRNA from 1 species
UAAUAAGAUACUAGUAAAAUAAUUACACUGCCUUGUCAAGGCAGAAUCGUAGGUGAAACUCCUGCGUGUCUU